GGAGACAGCCGGUGAUCGCCAGGUAAUUUUUUUUCUAUCUGGAGGAAAGUCCGGGCUCCACAGGGCAGGGUGGUCCGUAACGCGGACCGGGGGCGACCCCAGGGAAAGUGCCACAGAAAAUAUACCGCCAGUUCUUUAGCUGGUAAGGGUGAAAUGGUGAGGUAAGAGCUCACCAGAUGCAGCGGUGACGUUGCAUGCUUGGUAAACCCCACCCGUAGCAAAACCAAAUAGAGGAGCGCUAGAGAGUGGCCCGCUCGAAGCUCCCGGGUAGGUUGCGUGAGGUGUCGAGCAAUCGACAUCCCAGAUGAAUGAUCACCACCUUGGUAAUACAAGGGGACAGAACCCGGCUUAUGACUGGUCUCCACCG
rnacentral:RNase_P_RNA from 2 species